rnacentral:lncRNA from 1 species
UCCUUCCACCAAUCACAUCGCUGUGCUUCUGUGACAACUGAACACAACUGGAAGUGAAAAACAACUCCUCAUUCAAAGGGGUUUAACGUUCCUUGUAGAUUCUGGAUAUUGGGCCUUUGUCAGAUGCAUAGAUUGCAAAAAUUUUCUCCCACUCUGCCAAAAGAGGAGUACAUCUGAACAGCAAUAGAGCAGAGGAAGAAACCCUAAGUCAUGUUGUAGCCUAAUACCAUGGAGUAGCACAGACUUUGAAACCAGGCAGAACCAGAACUUGAACAGAUCUCUUCAGAACCGGGAAAACAUCUCCUUUUGUUGACAUCACAUGAAGGUUGAAGUCCGCUGUCAGGACCAUGUUUAAGGAUCUCAAUUGCCAUGUGGAUAAGCCUUACGGAAUGGAAAUGGAGUAAAAACUCCACUCGGGUAUCACCUGAAGCCCCUGCCUCCAAGAUCCAAAGUCAGUCUUUACAGUAAUAAAGCGAGAAAUAGUAAUAAAGCGAGAUCUUCAAGAAUUCUUAAAAGGAGUUUUGAGGAAUCAAGGAAACUACAAGGAGAAGCAACACUGUAAAUAAAUAUAUGGAAGUUGAAAAUGGAUCUUCAACAAGUGAUAAACAAUCCAGGGAACAGGGAGACCCGAGGAGAGGGAGAGAAAUGGUGAAUGGCCAGUCAAGAACUACCAAAAUAUAACACAAAGACAUGACAACAGAACAUGCUAUUGGAAAAUGGGGCUAAUAUGACCUGUUUGACGCAGGGUUGCCACAAACCUUCAAUUUAUAAGAAAUGCAAUAUCUGCAAGUCACAAUAAAGCCAGGCACAAUAAAACAAAGUAUGCCUGUAUAUAUUUCAUACAAAGAAAAAUAAAUAGUGUCUUGAUGCUAGAGGUAGACAAAUAUAGACUUGAAAGCCAGCUCGGCCAUUAGCUGUAUGCUCUUGAACAAGUUUGUCAACUUCUUAACCCUUGGUAUCUUCAACUAUAAAAUGGCGAUAAAUAGUAACAGCUGUUAGACUCUUGUAAGAAUUAAAUGAGAUAUCACAUAUAAAGUUCUUAGCAUUUAACAUAAUGCCUGACAAACAGUAAUAUCCAAGAAGUGUUAGCUAUUAAAUUAACAUUAUUCUUUUAUAGCUCACUUUGAUCAUUCUAAUACUGAAAAGCUUAUGUUUUAAAUUUAACUUCCUUUUGCCAAUGAAAUAGCCCAACAUCUGACAGUUCUUUCUCUUUAGAAAAAAAAGUACUCAUAAAGCAAGUAUAGAACAUAGAAAUAUGGAACU